GACGAACGCUGGCGGCGUGCCUAAUACAUGCAAGUCGAGCGAACCGAUAGAUUAGCUUGCUAUUCUUAAGGUUAGCGGCGGACGGGUGAGUAACACGUGGGCAACCUGCCCUAUAGACUG
rnacentral:rRNA from 1 species